AUUGAACGCUGGCGGCAGGCCUAACACAUGCAAGUCGAACGAGUGGCGGACGGGUGAGUAAUGUCUGGGAAACUGCCUGAUGGAGGGGGAUAACUACUGGAAACGGUGGCUAAUACCGCAUACCAUCGGAUGUGCCCAUAGGGGAUUAGCUGGUAGGUGGGGUAACGGCUCACCUAGGCGACGAUCCCUAGCUGGUCUGAGAGGAUGACCAGCCACACUGGAACUGAGACACGGUCCAGACUCCUACGGGAGGCAGCAGUGGGGAAUAUUGCACAAUGGGCGCAAGCCUGAUGCAGCCAUGCCGCGUGUAUGAAGAAGGCUUUCGGGUUGUAAAGUACUUUCAGCGGGGAGGCGUUACCCGCAGAAGAAGCACCGGCUAACUCCGUGCCAGCCGCCGCGGUAAUUC
rnacentral:rRNA from 1 species